rnacentral:ncRNA from 1 species
AUAAGGGUUAAUGUGUUAAUAAUCAUCUAACCUAGAUAUUGAAUCUACACCCACUAACCUUCUAAAUCAUCGACCCAUAACCCAUAACCAUUCUAAAGACAUAAUGUGAUUUAUUCCCAUUGCUCUGCAUGUCAAAGUGAAGAAAUUCAACCAAGUGGGAGUAACUAUGACUCUCUUAAGGUAGCUAGAUGCCUCGUCAUCUAAUUAGUGAUGCGCAUGAAUGGAUCAUUAACGAGAUUCUCCACUAUCCCUAGCUACUAUAUUCUAGAGUAACCACAUCCAAGGGAAUGGGCUUGGCAGAAUUAGCUGGAAAAGAAGACUAUGUUGAGCUUGACUCUAGUCCUAAACCAUUCAUAGU